rnacentral:rRNA from 1 species
UACGGGGGGGGCAAGCGUUGUUCGGAAUUACUGGGCGUAAAGGGCCCGUAGGCGGCCAACUAAGUCAUACGUGAAAUCCCCAGGCUCAACCUGGGAACUGCGUCUGAUACUGGUUGGCUUGAAUCCGGGAGAGGGAUGCAGAAUUCCAGGUGUAGCGGUGAAAUGCGUAGAUAUCUGGAGGAAUACCGGUGGCGAAGGCGGCAUCCUGGACCGGCAUUGACGCUGAGGAGCGAAAGCCAGGGGAGCAAACGGG